UACAGAGGUGGCAAGCGUUGUUCGGAAUUACUGGGCGUAAAGGGCGCGUAGGCGGCCUUCUAAGUCAGACGUGAAAUCCCCAGGCUUAACUUGGGAACUGCGUCUGAUACUGGGAGGCUUGAGUGCGGGAGAGGGAUGUGGAAUUCCAGGUGUAGCGGUGAAAUGCGUAGAUAUCUGGAGGAACACCGGUGGCGAAGGCGGCAUCCUGGACCGACACUGACGCUGAGGCGGCGAAAGCUAGGGGAGCAAACGGG
rnacentral:rRNA from 1 species